rnacentral:tRNA from 1 species
AAUAAGGUGGCCGAGGUUUAGGCGUUAGAUUGUAAAUCUAAGAACGAGCUAUUAGCUCUCUUAUUA